AACGAACGCUGGCGGCAGGCCUAACACAUGCAAGUCGAACGCUCCAGCAAUGGAGAGUGGCAGACGGGUGAGUAACGCGUGGGAACCUUCCCUAUGGUUCGGAAUAGCCCAGGGAAACUUGGGGUAAUACCGAAUAAGCCCUUCGGGGGAAAGAUUUAUCGCCAUUGGAUGGGCCCGCGUCGGAUUAGCUAGUUGGUGGGGUAACGGCCUACCAAGGCGACGAUCCGUAGCUGGUCUGAGGGGAUGAUCAGCCACACUGGGACUGAGACACGGCCCAGACUCCUACGGGAGGCAGCAGUGGGGAAUAUUGGACAAUGGGCGCAAGCCUGAUCCAGCCAUGCCGCGUGAGUGACGAAGGCCUUAGGGUUGUAAAGCUCUUUUGGCGGGGAAGAUAAUGACGGUACCCGCAGAAUAAGCUCCGGCUAACUUCGUGCCAGCCGCCGCGGUAA
rnacentral:rRNA from 1 species